GACUUUGAUUAUUUUUAUUUUAGAUUAGGAUUUAUUAAAAUUUGAUGCAAGACUAUGAAAUAUUAUUUUUAUAAUAUAUUUUGAUUUAGUUAUUUAAAUUAAAAUUAAAUAUUAAUUAUUUAAAAUUUAUUUUAUUAUUGCUUUAUGAUAUCAUGAUGAAAAGCUUUGCAUGCUUGUAGAUAGAGUUCUCCAUGCGUAUGUGGUAGUUAUUAUGACCCUUGGAUCACAAUCUC
rnacentral:lncRNA from 1 species